rnacentral:rRNA from 1 species
UGUCUCCAAGACAGACUCAGUGAAAUUGAAAUCUCCGUGAAGAUGCGGAGUACCCGCGGCCAGACGGAAAGACCCCGUGCACCUUUACUACAAUUUUGCACUGGUACUAGGCAUUGGAUGUGUAGGAUAGGUCGGAGGCUUUGAAGCAGUGGCGCUAGCCAUUGUGGAGCCAACGUUGAAAUACGACCCUUUUGGUGACUGGUAUCUAACCGCGUCCCGUUAUCCGGGACCGGGACAUUGCAUGAUGGGUAGUUUGACUGG